ACCAGAAAAAGAGAUAUGGAGUAAUUUUGACACAGACAGAGAGAAGCUGAAAAUAAAAGGUUGAUUUUUUGGGAAAAUCCAAAAUUUAUGUUCAACUUGGCAAUUUCGUCUUACACUCUUACUUCCGUGUGAAUGCUUCUUGACAGAUCUGCCAAAGGUGGGAUUUUGUAUACUUACAAUUUGUUCUUUCUUUUGGAAAUUUCUUCUUCUUUUUCUACAUAUUGUAGAUUCUAGAGAAAAUGAAGCUCUGUUUUGAAGGGGGGUUUGUUUAUUCUGUUAUUUGGAAUUUAUGGCAGCUGAAAGAAACGCUUGCAUUCAAUUUGAAGCUAAUUUCAGUUUUUAAUUGAACUGAUGAAAAUUGAUUAAGGAAAGAUCUUGAUAAAUUAUUUCUCUUCUGAAUAAUCUAAUUGCUGUUAGAUACAUGGACCAUUUUAUCUGGUUCAUGUAAUGAUGCAUUCUUUAUUUUUUUCUUUUUAAUGAAUAAGUAUAACAAAGACGUUGAGCUCAUCCCAGAGGUCACGAGCAGAGAGGUCCCUGACGGAUUCAUAAUCGGAUAUUAUGGCACCUCCACACAACUUUGUCACUGUCUUAUUUUUCUUCUUUUUUAGGUGAAGUGUUGGGUGAGUUUGGGAAGAUGUCAUUGAGGAAUAGCAACAAGAAAGUGAUGGAUGCCAUUCAAAAAAGAGGAAAAGGAAAAAAGAGUUGGUGAAAUGAAAAGUAAGAAAAAGAAAAUGAAUGUCCACCGCACCCAAAUGUCAGGCCAUGUGGACAACCAUUAAAAAGAGGGGUACUUCUGCAUACUUUGGUAACGACAGGGGCAUAUUUGGCCCUAUAGUAUAACUAGGGACAAACUUAGCUAACAAACGAAAGUAGAGAGGCAUUUUUUACCCUUUUUCCUAGUUUCAACUAUAGACCAUUUAAAAGGAAUGCCCCAAAUAACUGUGGCAAGCUCAAUAUGGGCUCUAUUAUCUUUCCCUUCAAACCACCUAGACUAAUUCCACAGGAUAUCUGUCAUCUCCCUCCAGCAACAUGUAUGUAGCAAAUAACUCUGUCCACCAAGAUUGGAACAAAUGGGAAGAAAUUACCAAGUGUUUAGUCUCUAAUGGGAAUUGAACACAAGACCUCAUGGUGCUCAAACCCACUUCAUUGACCACUACGCCACACCCUAGGGUGGUAGGUCAUACUUCAAUAUUAUUGUUUCUAUUUAUUACUUUUACAACACAAGGGUUCAAGGCUAUGUUGCUCAGACUCUCAAAAUUGCCAAUGGUGUGUGGCAGAAUCUCCAAAAGUAGUGUAUAUUUGGAGAAUCCAACACGGG